UACGUAGGCAGCAAGCGUUGUUCGGAGUUACUGGGCGUAAAGGGCGCGUAGGCGGCACGGCAAGUCGGGAGUGAAAGGCCUGGGCUCAACCGAGGAACUGCUUUCGAGACUGCCGAGCUAGAGUGCAGAAGGGGCAACUGGAAUUCCCAGUGUAGCGGUGAAAUGCGUAGAUAUUCGGAAGAACACCAGUGGCGAAGGCGGCUCACUGGACUGGUAUUGACGCUGAGGUGCGAAAGCGUGGGGAGCAAACAGG
rnacentral:rRNA from 1 species